CCAUUGCAUAGCCAUCUGGCAUGACAAGAAGUGGAGGAGGGAAGAGGAAAAAGAAAAUGGGAAGAACAAAGGCAAAUACGGGAGAAAGCCGUGGCUUUCGUUACCCCAAACGCGAAGGUUCCCGGAGAAAAGCCGGAGGCUGAGGAGGAAACUGGUGCCUGGAAGUGUGGUUAAGAGAAGUGUUCUCCAACAGGGUGAAGAGUUGAAAGAAAACUGAGAGCUGGAAGAGCAGAAGAGCCUGAGGGCACAGACACCUGAUAUCCCACUUGGGAAGAUCUUUACCAGGAACUUCAGAAAGAGAGAACAGCUAUGUUUUAGAUUGGUUCUUGGCAUAAGGAAGGUUGUGGAGAUUCCAGCGAGAGUGCCAACUGGAGGGUCUUGCGUUUAGGAUGAACCAAGGGUGACCUGAGGUAGAGGGAGAAUUCGAAUAGUGUUCAAGGUGGUAAGCAAAGAUUCUAGGAUAAUUUUGCUUUCAUGGUUAUUAUCUAACUCACUUUUGAAAUGCUAUCAGU